UUGCUCCAUGAAUUCCCAUGAUGCCGAGUGUGGUGUUACCUGGACUGAAGGUCUGGAUGUGAUGACAGAUCCGUUCUUGCUGUAGGUGAAGACGGUGAAGUCUGCAGGCAUCAGCAGGCUGGAAACAAGAAGCAUGGCCCGGACAGGAAAAGAUGUGGAGAAGAAGGGACAGAAGAGCCUGACUGAGCUCAAGAGUUUGAUGGAGAAUCCAAACCUUCAGCUCGAUACCACUCUGUCUUUUCGGAUGUUUCUUUGGGAAUGCAGCGAAAACGUUCUCCCAUACAGGAUCCUGUGUGUGACAACAGAAAUGAUCCGUUGAGUGCUUGCAUGUCUGUGACUGAGGACCAGCUCCUCCAAUCAUCUGAUCCUCAACUCCAAAACCCCAUAAUCCCGAGCGACAGCUGGAACUGACCAGCAUUUGGACAGGAGCUGUGACAGAGGCCUCCUUGACAAAUCCUCCCUCCAUCCACUGUGGCGAUGCUCACCUGUGAGGAUGAAGCUCCACGCUGACCAUCUACGUUGCUCUGAUUUAUUUAUUUGAUUCUUCUAAAAAAAAUAUGAAAAACUGAGCAGGAAGAAAAACAGCUAUCUGAUUUAUUUGUUACUA